UUUGCACACCGUUAGAGCCCGGUGCUGUCCUGUCUGUGCAGUGCGGGGUGUAGGAAGUGUGCUAAAAAAAAAAGCUUGGCCUUUAAUCUUUUCUUUCUGAACCACACAGAAGGAAAUGGGUAAAGGUCUUGCCACAAAA
rnacentral:snoRNA from 11 species